rnacentral:rRNA from 1 species
GACGAACGCUGGCGGCGCGCUUAACACAUGCAAGUCGAGCGAAGCGGCGGCCGGGUGAGUAACACGUGAGUAACCUGCCUUAGACAUUGGGAUAGCCUCGGGACACCGGGAUUAAUACCAACUGGUCUAAGAUGGACUCGCGUCCCAUUAGCUAGUUGGUGAGGUAACGGCCCACCAAGGCGACGAUGGGUAGCCGGCCGGAGAGGGUGAACGGCAACAUUGGAACUGAGAAACGGUCCAAACUCUACGGGAGGCAGAAGUGGGGAAUAUUGAACAAUGGAGGGAACUCUGAUGCAGCGAAGACGCGGGAACGAAGAAGGCUGUCGAGUCGUAAAGUUCUUUUAUAUGGGAAGCGGUACCAUAAGAAAAAGCCCCGGCUAACUACGUGCCAGCAGCCGCGGUAAUUC